UUUUUUUUGCCUCUUGUCUUAAUUCGCAGAGGAGACAAAAGCGAUGUCGCAGCUCUUAUCUUCCCCUUUGGUGGCGUUAAGUUACAACCCCUUUGCUAGCCCUCGCUUUCUCUCUUCGUCUUCUUCAGUACUCGUCGCCACCGGCGGUCUCGCCGUGAAACGACAUGUACUAGCCUCGAAGCCGACGAAGACGGUGAAGCUCACUGUUAAGUCCCGACAGACGGAUUACUUCGAGAAGCAGAGGUUCGGUGACUCGUCAGAACGGUGAAGGAGGGCCUGCUAGGUUUUACGUGGGUCAUUCGAUAUACAAAGGGAAAGCUGCGGUCACGGUGGAGCCAAGAGCACCAGAGUUUGUGUCUUUAGACUCUGGAGCUUUCAAGUUGUCGAAAGACGGUUCUUUACUGCUUCAGUUUGCUCCUGCAGCUGGUGUGAGGCAAUACGAUUGGAGCAAGAAGCAGUUUCCAGUGGAUCGUAUUCAUAGGCAACUCAAGACCAGGGUUUCAGCACAUGGAAGAGUUGGUCCCACUGCUGCUGUUUACACGGCUUCGAUUCUUGAGUCCCUGACUGCAGAAGUUUUUGAGUUAGCUUGAAACACAAGCAAAGUUCCGAAAGUGAACAGGAUAACUCCAAGGCAUUUGCAGUUGGCACUGUGGUUAUCGUGUGGGUGUUUGUUAAGUCUUGGACUCCUUUUCCUUUUCUUUGUUUCGUUAUUAGGUGUUGUUACCUUUUAUUGGACAUCAGGUUAAUUUGAACUCUUAUGCUUCUCUUUUGAGCAAAUGUUGGCUUUCCAUACUCUUUUUGUAUAAACAAUAUAUAUAUAUAUAUGGGAAAAUGAUCAUUUAAAUCA